GCAGCUUACACAUGCAGUCGAGCGGUAGAGAGAAGCUUGCUGCUCUUGAGAGCGGCAGACGGGUGAGUAAAGCCUAUGAAUCUGCCUGGUAGUGGGGGAUAACGUUCGGAAACGGACGCUAAUACCGCAUACGUCCUACGGGAGAAAGCAGGGGACCUUCAGGCCUUGCGCUAUCAGAUGAGCCUAGGUCGGAUUAGCUAGUUGGUGAGGUAAUGGCUCACCAAGGCGACGAUCCGUAACUGGUCUGAGAGGAUGAUCAGUCACACUGGAACUGAGACACGGUCCAGACUCCUACGGGAGGCAGCAGUGGGGAAUAUUGGACAAUGGGCGAAAGCCUGAUCCAGCCAUGCCGCGUGUGUGAAGAAGGUCUUCGGAUUGUAAAGCACUUUAAGUUGGGAGGAAGGGCAUUAACCUAAUACGUUAGUGUUUUGACGUUACCGACAGAAUAAGCACCGGCUAACUCUGUGCCAGCAGCCGCGGUAAUACAGAGGGUGCAAGCGUUAAUCGGAAUUACUGGGCGUAAAGCGCGCGUAGGUGGUUUGUUAAGUUGGAUGUGAAAUCCCCGGGCUCAACCUGGGAACUGCAUUCAAAACUGACUGACUAGAGUAUGGUAGAGGGUGGUGGAAUUUCCUGUGUAGCGGUGAAAUGCGUAGAUAUAGGAAGGAACACCAGUGGCGAAGGCGACCACCUGGACUAAUACUGACACUGAGGUGCGAAAGCGUGGGGAGCAAACAGGAUUAGAUACCCUGGUAGUCCACGCCGUAAACGAUGUCAACUAGCCGUUGGGAGCCUUGAGCUCUUAGUGGCGCAGCUAACGCAUUAAGUUGACCGCCUGGGGAGUACGGCCGCAAGGUUAAAACUCAAAUGAAUUGACGGGGGCCCGCACAAGCGGUGGAGCAUGUGGUUUAAUUCAAAGCAACGCGAAGAACCUUACCAGGCCUUGACAUCCAAUGAACUUUCUAGAGAUAGAUUGGUGCCUUCGGGAACAUUGAAACAAGUGCUGCAUGGCUGUCGUCAGCUCCUGU
rnacentral:rRNA from 1 species